AUACAUGCAGUCGAGCGAAUGGAUUAAGAGCUUGCUCUUAUGAAGUUAGCGGCGGACGGGUGAGUAACACGUGGGUAACCUGCCCAUAAGACUGGGAUAACUCCGGGAAACCGGGGCUAAUACCGGAUAACAUUUUGAACCGCAUGGUUCGAAAUUGAAAGGCGGCUUCGGCUGUCACUUAUGGAUGGACCCGCGUCGCAUUAGCUAGUUGGUGAGGUAACGGCUCACCAAGGCAACGAUGCGUAGCCGACCUGAGAGGGUGAUCGGCCACACUGGGACUGAGACACGGCCCAGACUCCUACGGGAGGCAGCAGUAGGGAAUCUUCCGCAAUGGACGAAAGUCUGACGGAGCAACGCCGCGUGAGUGAUGAAGGCUUUCGGGUCGUAAAACUCUGUUGUUAGGGAAGAACAAGUGCUAGUUGAAUAAGCUGGCACCUUGACGGUACCUAACCAGAAAGCCACGGCUAACUACGUGCCAGCAGCCGCGGUAAUACGUAGGUGGCAAGCGUUAUCCGGAAUUAUUGGGCGUAAAGCGCGCGCAGGUGGUUUCUUAAGUCUGAUGUGAAAGCCCACGGCUCAACCGUGGAGGGUCAUUGGAAACUGGGAGACUUGAGUGCAGAAGAGGAAAGUGGAAUUCCAUGUGUAGCGGUGAAAUGCGUAGAGAUAUGGAGGAACACCAGUGGCGAAGGCGACUUUCUGGUCUGUAACUGACACUGAGGCGCGUAAUGUCUGAACCGCC
rnacentral:rRNA from 1 species